CAUCAUCACGGUUCCACUCCCUCAUACCAUCAUAACAUUUUUUUUUACAUAACCUGCACUUGCCGGAGAAACUCGUAACAUCGCCGAAAACUGAGAAGACGACCAGAGCCAUACAGGGUUCGACGGAACUUUCCAAUCAACGUCUAGAACGGAACUCAUUGGAACACGUCGGAGCCGCCGGAGAUUGGAGAACAAACCGGAGAAUCCAGGCGUCGCCGGAAAACAUCGAAGUCCUCUCUUCGUUCGUUUCGGAACCAUCGUUACUACUGCUAUGGAACACCACGUGGAGAGAAAAGCCAUCAAAAGUGUAUGUGGCAGGGCUAAAACAAUACAAUCAGCAUGGGAGGUAGGUGUUGGUCCUAUGUUAAGGAAAAAAGAUAACUGGAUGAAAUCGGCAGUCGAAUCAUCUCAACGAGAUUCAACUGAGAACGAAGAUUUGAGAAAUGAGGUUACUGAACUCAAGGAGGAAUUGAAACAGAGUAACGAAAAUUACGAAAGAGUGACAGUGUUCUUGAGCCGAAAAUAUCCAGAUUUCGAGAGCACAAUAUCUACAAAUGAUGCUGGUGAAGAUGAUGGUUUGAAUGGACUACACAACGAAAGUGACAACACUAUCUAGGCAGUUAGUUAAAGGCAGUUAGUUAAGACGUUUAUUACUUUUUUUCUCUAAUACUCUUCUAAAUUUCAGAAGUGAUGAACUGGUGUUAUUGUGACAUUAAUGACAUUAAUGACAUUAAUGCUUGAGUUUA